rnacentral:rRNA from 1 species
GACGAACGCUGGCGGCGUGCCUAAUACAUGCAAGUCGAACGAACUCUGGCAUUGAUUGAUGCUUGCAUCAUGAUUUACAUUUGAGUGAGUGGCGAACUGGUGAGUAACACGUGGGAAACCUGCCCAGAAGCGGGGGAUAACACCUGGAAACAGAUGCUAAUACCGCAUAACAACUUGGACCGCAUGGUCCGAGUUUGAAAGAUGGCUUCGGCUAUCACUUUUGGAUGGUCCCGCGGCGUAUUAGCUAGAUGGUGGGGUAACGGCUCACCAUGGCAAUGAUACGUAGCCGACCUGAGAGGGUAAUCGGCCACAUUGGGACUGAGACACGGCCCAAACUCCUACGGGAGGCAGCAGUAGGGAAUCUUCCACAAUGGACGAAAGUCUGAUGGAGCAACGCCGCGUGAGUGAAGAAGGGUUUCGGCUCGUAAAACUCUGUUGUUAAAGAAGAACAUAUCUGAGAGUAACUGUUCAGGUAUUGACGGUAUUUAACCAGAAAGCCACGGCUAACUACGUGCCAGCAGCCGCGGUAAUACGUAGGUGGCAAGCGUUGUCCGGAUUUAUUGGGCGUAAAGCGAGCGCAGGCGGUUUUUUAAGUCUGAUGUGAAAGCCUUCGGCUCAACCGAAGAAGUGCAUCGGAAACUGGGAAACUUGAGUGCAGAAGAGGACAGUGGAACUCCAUGUGUAGCGGUGAAAUGCGUAGAUAUAUGGAAGAACACCAGUGGCGAAGGCGGCUGUCUGGUCUGUAACUGACGCUGAGGCUCGAAAGUAUGGGUAGCAAACAGGAUUAGAUACCCUGGUAGUCCAUACCGUAAACGAUGAAUGCUAAGUGUUGGAGGGUUUCCGCCCUUCAGUGCUGCAGCUAACGCAUUAAGCAUUCCGCCUGGGGAGUACGGCCGCAAGGCUGAAACUCAAAGGAAUUGACGGGGGCCCGCACAAGCGGUGGAGCAUGUGGUUUAAUUCGAAGCUACGCGAAGAACCUUACCAGGUCUUGACAUACUAUGCAAAUCUAAGAGAUUAGACGUUCCCUUCGGGGACAUGGAUACAGGUGGUGCAUGGUUGUCGUCAGCUCGUGUCGUGAGAUGUUGGGUUAAGUCCCGCAACGAGCGCAACCCUUAUUAUCAGUUGCCAGCAUUAAGUUGGGCACUCUGGUGAGACUGCCGGUGACAAACCGGAGGAAGGUGGGGAUGACGUCAAAUCAUCAUGCCCCUUAUGACCUGGGCUACACACGUGCUACAAUGGAUGGUACAACGAGUUGCGAACUCGCGAGAGUAAGCUAAUCUCUUAAAGCCAUUCUCAGUUCGGAUUGUAGGCUGCAACUCGCCUACAUGAAGUCGGAAUCGCUAGUAAUCGCGGAUCAGCAUGCCGCGGUGAAUACGUUCCCGGGCCUUGUACACACCGCCCGUCACACCAUGAGAGUUUGUAACACCCAAAGUCGGUGGGGUAACCUUUUAGGAACCAGCCGCCUAAGAUGGGACAGAUGAUUAGGGUG